UAUAAAGUCUGUAGUGAAUUGGUGAGGUCGAAACCUGUCAUAGAGUCAGUAGUGAAUGGGUGAGGUCGAAACCUGUCUAUUAAGUCUGUAGUGAAUGGGUGAGGUCGAAACCUGUCUCUUUAAGUCUGUAGUGAAUGGCUGAGGUCGAAACCUGUCUAUAAAGUCUGUAGUGAAUGGAUGAGGUCAAAACCUUUC